AUCAACCUCGAUUAUCUAUUAUCUUGUCUUCUUCUUCCUCGUUUUUUAAUUCACUAAGAAUUUCUCCUUUUUUACUAAUGUAUUUUUAGCUCUUAUAAUAAUUGCAGAAAAGAAAAGAAUAUCUUGAAUGUCAUGGACAUUCCUAGAAAUAAGAGAUGGAUGUAUUGUGAUAGAGUUAGUAAAGAAUACUUGAAUGGGGUAGAAGAUUUUUUAAACCACGCCUUUUCUGUAAAACAAGAUGGAGAGAAAAUAUUAUGCCCUUGUGUGGAAUGUGUCCUUAUCCAUCAAGUAAAUCGGGCUACAACAUAUGAUCAUCUUGUGGUUAAUGGUAUUAUUCCUUCAUAUGAUACUUGGUUUUGUCAUGGGGAGUCUCUAAAGGCAUCAAAUAAUAUUCAAGUAAAAAAUCACAGCCAAUCAACUUUAAGGGGCGAUGAUAUGAGAGGAAUGAUACAUGAUGUCUUUAGAGGCUUUACACAAUUCAUGGAGACUGAUGUUAGUGAAAGAGGUCAGAUGGAACCAAUCCUACAAGAAAAUACUGCUCAUCCAUUUGGAAAUCAACCUUAUCCCGAGGUGGAUAAGUUUGAACGGCUCAUGAAGGAGGCUAAUGAAGAACUAUAUCCUGGAUGCAAGAAGUUUAGCAAACUAUCCUUUUUGCUGCAUAUCUAUCGUACAAAAUGCAUGUUCAAAUGGUCAAACGAAUCUUUUAAUGCUUUGCUUGGACUAUUGAAGGAUGUGUUGCCUGAAGGGGAAAACAUUGCCUCCUUCUUUCUAUGAGACCAAAAAGAUAGUUGAAAGCUUGGGCUUAAAAUAUGAAAAGAUACAUGCUUGUCCGAACGAUUGCAUGCUUUUUAGGAAAGAGUUUGCUAGUAAGGAUGUCAAUGAGUGCAAAAUUUGUGGGGCUUCUAGAUGGAAAAAUAAUGUUAAAAAAAUUCCAGCCAAGGUCCUAAGGUAUUUUCCUUUAAAGCCAAGGCUGCAAAGAUUGUUUAUGUCUUUAGAAACAUCUAAAGCAAUGCGAUGGCAUCAUGAAGAGCGCAACAAAGAUGGAGUUCUAAGCCAUCCUGCAGAUUCUGAAGCUUGGAAGAGUUUUGAUAGUAAAUAUCCCGAAUUUGCUAGAGAUCCUCGCAAUAUCCGCCUAGGAUUAGCUUCUGUGUGUUUAAUCCAUUUGGUACAAUGCGAACUGUUCAUAGUACAUGGCCAGUUAUUUUAAUGCCAUAUAAUCUUCCACCAUGGAUGUGUAUGAAGCAAGAGUUCUUCAUUAUGUCCUUACUUAUUCCUGGACCGAAAGCACCUGGCAAUAAUAUUGAUGUCUUUUUGCAACCUUUAAUAGAAGAGUUAAAUGAAUUAUGGGAUGUCGGGGUAGAAACAUAUGAUGCCUCUGCUAAGAUGAUAUUUCAAAUGCGAGCAGCUCUCAUGUGGACUAUAAAUGAUUUUCCAGCAUAUGGUACUCUCUCUGGAUGGUGCACUUAUGGUCGGUUUGCAUGCCCUUCUUGCAACAUAAACACUCAAUCUAGAAGGUUCAGACAUGGCAACAAGUUUUGUUACAUGGGGCAUCGACGCUUCUUGAAAUUGAGACAUAAAUAUCGAAAUGAUGCUAAAUCGUUUGAUGGGACUAAAGAAACAAGAUAUGCACCUUGUCCAGUAUCUGGGUCACUGGUGCUGAAUCAAAUUAAAGAUAUAAAGUUUACUCUCGGCCAGUCGAGUGAAGGGGUAAGUGGGGUGAUGAAAAAUACAUGGAAAAAGAGGAGCAUUUUUUUCGAUCUUCCUUAUUGGGAGUCUAACUUGGUGCGCCAUAAUCUUGAUGUGAUGCACAUAGAAAAAAAUGUGUGUGAUAAUUUAAUUUAUACACUAUUGGGUCUUGGUAAAAAAUCUAAAGACAACUUAGAAGCUCGACUAGACUUGAAGGAGAUGAAAAUAAGACCAAGCUUAUGGCCUCAAUAUCGAGCUAGUGGGAGAGCAUAUCUUCUCGCUACUUUCUUCACAAUGUCUCCGAAUGAAAAGGAGUUAUUUUAUGAAGUACUACAAAAUGCCAAGUUUCCACAUGGCUAUGCAUCUAAUAUCUCAUGUUGCAUUCGCAAACGAAAGAUAUCUGGGCUAAAAACUCAUGAUUGCCAUGUUAUAAUGCAAGAACUUCUAGUUCAGUUAUAAUUGAACUAUGCACAUUCUUUCGUGUUCUGUGUAGCAAAGAGCUAAAACUAGAUGAGUUAAAGUUACUUGAAGAAAAAAUUCCAGAAAUAUUGUCUACUAUGGAGAAACUCUUUCUCCCAGGAUUCUUUACUGUUAUGGUACACUUGGUUAUUCACUUGGCAACUGAGGCUAAACAUGCGGGGCCAGUAAAUUAUCGCUGGAUGUACCCAAUUGAGAGGUACUUAGGUAUGUUAAAAUCAUAUGUUCGUAAUCGUGCAUGCCCAGAAGGUUCAAUAGCAGAGGCAUAUGUAGCUAAUGAAUGCUUGGCAUUUUGCUCACGAUAUCUGGAGGGUGGAGAUUCAAGAUUUUAUUGCUCAAGAAAAUGCGAUAACAAUGUUGAGCAUGCUACUAGUAAAGAAAAAUGUCUUUUUCCUACUGUUGGGGAGUCAUAUGGUGGAGUAGAUGUAUUUGAGUUGGAUGAGAAAACAUGGUUGCAAGCACAUCGGCAUGUGCUUUUCAAUUGCGAUUCAGAGGUGGUUGAGAAUUAUAAAAAGUAAGUGUUAUAUCUAUUAUUGAAUAUAUGUAUGACUUAUUUGAUAACAAAAUAAUAUCUGCGAGUCACAUCAGUACGGAACAUAUUGCUGAAAUCAAAAGAUCACAUCGUAAGCGUCGUUUGACACAACAUCAACUUGACCGUGUGCAUUUCGAUACAUUUCAUGAGUGGUUCAAGGAGCAAGUAAUUCGGAAGCAAGAAAGGUUCGUGGGCCUAUUUUACUAAAAGAUAUUUGGAAACUUCCACCAGGAAAGACAAUUGAUGUACCGUUCAAUAAUCGUAACCAAACUAUUGGGAAAGAGGGUCGAAAGCUUGCUAGCUUUCUAAGAAUUAUUGCCAGAACUCCAGAACUAACACCUCUACAUGUAGAUGAUUGGAGAAAUUUUGACGAGGAAAAGAAGAAAUUGGUUGAUUUUGUGAGGAAGAAGUUCUCUAUUCCAAAACGUGGAGAAGCAUAGAUCUUAAAGUCACUAGGAAAGAAAUGGAAAGACUUCAAGUGUGAUUUAAAGGCUAAGUAUGCGCAAAAAUAUAAGACUAAAGACGCUUUGCUAAAAAAUAGACCAAGCGGCAUACCGAGAGAUCAAUGGAGUGGUCUUGUCUCUUAUUGGCUUUCUGAUAAAGCUAAGGCUGUAAAUGGGAUUGAGCCUACACGAGCAGAAAUUUUCUUAUUAACUCAUAAAAACGUAAGGAUGGUAGGCCACUGGAUGAUGAUUCUGUCAAGACAAUCGAAAUGAUAAAUGAAAGGAUGAGCAAUAGUGAGAGAUCUACUGAGCAACCUCCUCGUAGUGUUGCUUGGGAAGGCGAUGUGUAUUCUCAGGUGUUGGGAAAUAAAAAAAGUGGGUAUGUUCGUGGUUUAGGACUUGGUCCAACUCCUUCUGUUCUAUGGGGUAGUAGGUCUUCCUUAGGAAAUAUUAUUGCAGAUGAUUCUUCUAAUGAGGUUAUACAAAGGUUAGAACAGAAGAUAAUCGAGUUAAAGGAGAAACAAAAUGAAGAAAUGAGUAUGAUGAAACAAAAUCAGGAGAUGAUGCAAUCAGAAUUACUCCAAAUGAGACAACUCAUGCGUAAAUAUGCUCCUGAUGCAUCUAUGCCUCAAAGUAGCAAUGGCACCUCAGGCGAACAGAUCCCUGAUGCCAAUAGUGGACAUGAACGAGUACCACAAACAUCAAGAAUGCCUAGUGUUGUUGAAAACGGUCAACCUUCUCAUGCAGGUGAAAGAUUUCUAAAUGAUGAAAAGUUGCGGAAAUCAUUUGAAGACCAUCAUUUGGAUUAGUUAUAUAAUGACAUUAGCUAUUUAGUCUAAACAAUAUAUUUUUACGUUUUAAGUUACUGUGAUAUUAAUAUUUUUGAUUAGUACUUCCUUUUGUUUGUUAAGAUUAAUGAGAUACAUUAUGUUUUUUUUGAAUUAAUAUUAAUAUAUUUUAUUAUUUGAGUCA